rnacentral:lncRNA from 1 species
AAUGCUAGAACUCAUGCCUAUUUCAUUCAAAGCAUGCUAUUGAUUUGCAUAACACAUAUUCAAGAUGAAGUUGCGUAGUGACCACCAAAGCCAAAUUGCCGUGCCCCUAUUUCAUUAUGUGUUUAAGUUUAACACCGUUGAGCCUUGUUAAGCCUAUGUUCUUUGUUAACCCACACUAUCCUUACCUAGCCUAGUUUUAGGAUCAUCCAUACUGUUGUUCUUGAAGCAUAGUAAAGCAUGACCUAAAAUGAACUCCAUUUUUAUCAAUGUAUUGCAGAAAGCAAGUGUGGGGGAAGUGAUUCUUGUGUGUGUGUGUGUGUACCAAAGUCCUUAAUAAGGCACGGGUAGAGAAAAGAAAAAAAAAAGGAAAAAAAAAGGAAAAAAAAAAGUAUGAAAAAGAGCUCUAAAGUGUUGUUUGUUAAAAAAAGGGUCCAAAACAUUGAAUUCAGCCUUAAGUGUUGCAUGAAUCUUCCCUUUGUAUGUAAAAGUUGAUUCUGCAUUCUAAAGUGAAUUCCAAGUGUCUAUUUAAUUGCUUUGCUUGCUAUUGCUUUAAGAACGUUUGUUAUUUUUGUCCUUUCUUUGUUAGCCAUUACCCCCAAGCCUUGUUACAACCUUUGACUUCAAUCUUGAGUGUUGUGCGUUUCAAUUUGUGGAGUUCGAAAUUGGUAUGAGCAUAUGGUGUCACUGGUUCUCGCAUCUAAGUAGUAGCAUACCAUUCAUGAGAUCAUAUCUAAACAUGCUUAAUAACUCUAGAAAAUUGCUUCCUUUGUUAUAACAUAUGUAAGUCCCAGUCUCUAGUGUAGGGUGUAUAGUCAGAAAAUGUGUGUGAAAAUAAAGAGUAUCUUGUAAGGAAUUGAGCAAAUUCUCUAAGGCAUGUUACUACAUUCAAAACAUUGUUUUAAUUUGUUAAUUAUGAACUAGUAAGUAGUGACUGUGAUUAAGUUUGUGCUCAAGUGUGAAGAUAAUCAAAAUCUGUGGGAAUGAUGAUUUUUAACAUGUCAUGUGCAUUGGAAAUCCCUAAGGCAAAUGUUAGAAGGUUAGGUUGUGUUUUACUUGUUUUGUUUCGUUUUGUUUCGUUUUGUUUUGCUCGAGGACUAGCAAAAGGGAAUUUGAUAGGAGCAUAUUUAUGCAACUUAGUUAGCUUGUUUCUUGGCAUUUACUUA